AUAUCAAUAAGCGGAGGAAAAGAAACUAACAAGGAUUCCCCUAGUAACUGCGAGUGAAGCGGGAAAAGCUCAAAUUUAAAAUCUGGCGGUCUUUGGCCGUCCGAGUUGUAAUUUAGAGAAGCGUCUUCCGCGCCGGACCGUGCACAAGUCUCCUGGAAUGGAGCGUCAUAGAGGGUGAGAAUCCCGUCUUUGGCACGGAUGCCCGGUGCUUCUGUGAUGCGCUCUCGAAGAGUCGAGUUGUUUGGGAAUGCAGCUCAAAAUGGGUGGUGAACUCCAUCUAAAGCUAAAUAUUGGCGAGAGACCGAUAGCGAACAAGUACCGUGAGGGAAAGAUGAAAAGCACUUUGGAAAGAGAGUGAAACAGUACGUGAAAUUGUUGAAAGGGAAACGCUUGAAGUCAGUCGCGUCGACCGAGACUCAGCCUUGCCUUGGCUUGGUGUACUUCUCGGCCCGACGGGUCAGCGUCAAUUUUGCCCCUCGGAUAAUGGCAAGGGAAAGGUGGCACCUUUACGGGUGUGUUAUAGUCUCCUGUCGCAUGCGGGGGGUGGGAUUGAGGAACUCAGCGCGCACCUUGGUGUCGGGGCUUCUGCCCACGUCACGCGCUUAGGAUGCUGGCGUAAUGGCUUUAAACGACCCGUCUUGAAACACGGACCAAGGAGUCCAACACGCCCGCGAGUGUUCGGGUGGAAAACCCGUGCGCGUAAUUAAAGUGAAAGUUGGGACCUCUGUCGUGGAGGGCACCGACGCCCGGACCAGACCUUCUGUGACGGAUCUGCGGUAGAGCGUGUGUGUUGGGACCCGAAAGAUGGUGAACUAUGCCUGAAUAGGGUGAAGCCAGAGGAAACUCUGGUGGAGGCUCGUAGCGAUUCUGACGUGCAAAUCGAUCGUCAAAUUUGGGUAUAGGGGCGAAAGACUAAUCGAACCAUCUAGUAGCUGG
rnacentral:rRNA from 1 species